rnacentral:rRNA from 1 species
AGAGAGAGACAUGCGCGCAUAUCAAUAAGCGGAGGAAAAGAAACUAACAAGGAUUCCCUUAGUAACGGCGAGUGAAGCGGGAAGAGCUCAAAUUUGAAAUCUUCAAGGUUUCACCUUGACGAAUUGUAGUUUAAAGAAGUGUUUUCUGCUGAAGUUUUGGUAAAAGUUCUUUGGAAUAGGACAUCAUAGAGGGUGAGAAUCCCGUAUUUGACCAUUAUUUUCAGCUUCGUGAUACACUUUCAAAGAGUCGGAUUGUUUGGGAAUGCAGUCCAAAAUGGGUGGUAAAUUUCAUCUAAAGCUAAAUAUUGGCGAGAGACCGAUAGCGAACAAGUACCGUGAGGGAAAGAUGAAAAGAACUUUGAAAAGAGAGUUAAACAGUACGUGAAAUUGUCAAAAGGGAAGCGUUUGACACCAGUGUUGUUUUCUCGAAAAUCAAUUAAAAAUGGCUCGAUUUUGUAUUGUUGAGACCUUAAAAGCCCACUGUACAUUUUUCGUGUCUUUUUUAAUGCACUUUUCGUUUAACAAGUCAACAUCAGUUUCUUUUGUUGUAAAAGGGUCAUUGGAAGGUGGCUUUCUUUUCGGAGAAAGUGUUUAUAGCCUUUGGCCUCUGCAAUCGGAAGAGACUGAGGUCUGCAGCGUAGACUCUUCGGGGUUAGAUACAUUUGUGCUAAGUUAUAGCUUUUUAUAGACAACUUGUUGACUAUAAUUAGUCUUGUAGCUUACUCGCUUAUGCUAUUUUACCUACGCUUAGGAUGUUGAAGUCAUCGUAUCGCGC